CAAGUCUGCUUAAUGCACAUAAUGAGUAUGCUAACCGCACUGAGCCUCUCUCCUCCAACUCAACCACACUUCAUAAUAGGAGCAUUAGAUAGCCCACAGACCUCAUAAUUUUCCUUCCAUUUUCUUUGACUUAACUCAUUCAAUGAACAACUCUCUCAUUUUUCUCUGGUCGUGUCUUGGCCUCACUCUCAACUUUGUUUUCUUCUACUGACUUCUCUAAUCAUGAGUUCCCAGGAAGGCAUAUAACUUCCCCCUGCAUCACUGUCUGAAGCCACAUUAUACAGUCUAAUGGAAUGCAACCCUCUUCUCCAGGUCCUUCAUGCUGGGAAUUCUCAAUAAUGCUCAAGCUGAAUUUCAGAUAUAAACUGUGAAGCCAACAUCGGGUGUCUGUGAUUUAGGCCAGGGCUAUAUUCAAAGCAUGGCCUGUAGACCAGCAUCAUCAUCAUCAUGUGGAAGCAUAUUAGAGAUCCAGAUUCUUGGGUCCCAUCCCAGACCUACUGAAUCGGAACCUGUGGGAGUGGGGUCCAGCAGUCUGUGUUUUACCAGCUCUCCAGAUGAUUCUCAAGCACUCCAUACUUUGAGAAGCCCCACUUCAGACUGUGGAUAAAAGAAAAAUAAUAACAUAGAAAGACAUUUGGUUUACUAAAGCUUAACUCUAAAAACUACAUACUAAAAUGAAGCAUAUUUCAUGUGUCAUUUAGGUGUUUAGAUAAUAGCCCAGAGUUUGAUAGGAGUUGAAUAAACGGUAAUCAAUGAAACUUGACAGAUUAACAGAUCAGUUACUAAAAUAUUUGUCCCCGAGUUACUGAUAGCAUAGUCUAGGUUUUAGAAAAUGCUGCUGAACAAGUGAAUCAGUUUAUAUUUUUAGGUUCUAGUUUCUGAAAUGGAUAGGGGUUCAUUAAGAGCUGCUAAAUGCCAGCGUGUCCACCCAAUCGUAUGCUAGGAGAAUAUACCAUUCCUAUUUUGAAAUGUAGGUUUUAUUAUUCAGGUUUGGUGUGGUCAAUAGAUUAGGAGACAGUUGCCAUUCGGAGGAUAGGUACUCACAAUUGCCAACAGGAGGGACAUGCAACUUCAUGUAGGGCCACAUGAAGGAAACACCAGAGUAAGUCAGGGUAUGGAGAAAAGAGAGAGAAAGCACGGAUUUAUAGUCUUUAUUGUUGUUUCUGUGGCAAAGAGCAGGAGAGGCAGUAUAAGAAAGCUAAGCAGGCUUAGAAUCGGAUAGUUUGAAUAAUUUUGGCAAAGUCUGGGCUACAGCGUUGAUCCCUAGUUGUCCAGAACCUAGACCUGGGCAGGGGAAUAGUGUCACAGACUGCAGGAAACUGAUAAAAAGAGGUGGAUAGGAUAUGGUCUUGUGACUGAUUAGUUUACUUAUAAAAAAAUUCUUGCAAGCAAAUUGUUUGCUGUCUUUGGGAAUUAGGUAACUCUUGAGGAGGCAUUUCUUUCCCUAGUCCAAAAAGGCCCCAAGAUGUCAAAGCAUCAUAAAAUACAGAAAAAAAAUUAAAACAUGAUUAAUACAAUCCCCUACUCUGUGGAACAACUAUAAUGUAUUUCUACUGUGGAAAGUUAAUAAAUAUAUUAACAACUCCACAUGUUCCAAACUCUAUCUCUCUAGUUUUGAAAAACGUGAGCAUGCAAGAUUCAGCCUUGCAUCCCCAAGGCCUCAUACCUGAGAUACAGAGUAACUGCUUGAUAGUUGUCUGAUGAAAUUUCUGAGGAAAUUCCUUCUUCAGUUUCCAAUUUUUAAAAUUUUGUUUAACAAUUACUUAUUGAGCACCUAAUAUAUACCAUAUUAACUGAGCAUUUCAUGGCCCCUUAAGUAUGGCCAUAUAUUAUGUCAACUUCCCAGACAUAAUAUACAAGGAAAACACAAGCAGCAAAUCUAAAUUAUCAAAUAUUGUUGCACUCACAUUGCUGAUUUAAAAAUUGAGAUUUAGGGCUGGGCAUGGUGGCUCACACCUGUAAUCCCAGCACUUCAGGAGGCCGAGGCGAGUGGAUCACAUGGUCAGGAGAUCGAGACCAUCCUGGCUAACACGGUGAAACCCUGUCUGUACUAAAAAUACAAAAAAUUAGCCAGGCGUGGUAGCACACGCCUGUAGUCCCAGCUAUUCGGGAGGCUGAGGCAGGAGAAUCGCUUGAACCCAGGAGGUGGAGGUUGCAGUGAGCCGAGAUCGCACCACUGUACUCCAGCCCGGGUGACAGAGUGAGAUUCUGCCUCCAACAAAACAAAAAAACAAACAAAAAAAUUUGAGGUUUAGAUAGGGAAAAAUUAAUAAUUAUGUUUGGCUACUUUUUUGGAAGGGAAUGGGGGUCUCAUUUUAUUGCCGAGGCUGACUUUGAACUCCUGUGGUCAAAUGAUCCUCCUAUCUCAGCUUCCAAAGUAGCUGGGACUACAGGUGUACACCAUCACACCCGGCUACUUUUAACUUCUAACCUAACUUAAUUUUUCCUGGCUUUUCUGCUACAUGUUUAUUUUACAUAAGUUGGUGUCUAAUUAGAAAUUUAUUGUCCUGUGAUUAGAAAUACAAUUCUGGGAGUAAUGGUGCUGACUGUCUUGGAAUUGCUGUCCGGACACAAAAUCAAAUCUGCCUGCCUAAGAACAGACCUAGGAAAAGAACUGAUUCCCAUAUUCCACACCUAUAGCAGCAGACAGGUGAUCACUCCCAUAUGUCAUUCAAGCAAUGGAAAACGUGGUGAGGAGUCCAAUAAUUCAAUGGGGAGAUAGAGAAUUAAUUAAAAAACAUCCUUUAUCGUUCAGAAUUUGGGUAAUAAUGGGCCAAUGCACUGUGAUCAAUGCUCUUCCGUAAUAUUUUGCACCUUCCUUUCUAGCGGAGCCAUCUAAUUAGAGAAGCCAUUUAAUUCUGUGUUUCACCUGAAGCUUUGGGUGUCAAUAAAUGCUUUGCUAUCCCAUGUAAUAAUAAGUGCCAUAAUUAUUAUUAUUUACUUCCUAGAUGCCGGGUAUACACAGACCAGUACAUUUACGGCCUACUCCAGAUAGUGUCUUUGUAUUAGUUUUACAUUUGUUACUGAUGGCAAGUCAAUCUUUAUUUAAAACAAAAAAUAUGAACAAAGACGUACGAGGAGUAUCUUUAAUGACCAUUUUGAAGAAUUCAUUUACAGAGAAGAAGUUCAAAAGUCUCGUUUAAUUACAAAGAUCAAAGUAGGUCAAUUUUGCAGGCCAAGUCAUGCCAGCAAGCCUCCUGCUCAGACGAAACAUAAUUUCAAAAUUCAAAAUUUGUAUUUCAAGUGUACCAGAUAAGAUGGCUUUUUAUUCUUUUUAAAAGCUUGAUAUUUGGAGGUUGGUCCAAAAUGGCUUACUAGAAGCAGCUAGUGUGUAGCGAUCUCAUGAAGAGGAAACAUAAUGGUGAGUAAAUACUAGCUCUUCAAGGGAAUCAUCUGAGACCGUGUCAGGAUUUACCAAGGAAGCAAGGCACCCACAGAGAACAGAAAGGACUGAAGCUGGGCAGCCACCCGCCCAGGACUAGUGCGCACCAGUGAGAAACUCCCUACCAUGGGGAAAAGGUGAGUGAGGGAGAGUGCCCGGGAGAUUCACACUUCCAACAGGGACCUUUGCAACCCUGGGCAUGGCAGAAUCCCCCUAACUCCAGCCCCGGGCCUCUAGACCGACACAGAGAGCUGCUGGGAGUCUUUGCAGAGGUGCUGCUCAAGCCCACAUGGAGCCCCACAGGUCCUGGAUCCCUGAGCAGCCCAGUUCAGUGCAAUAAUCCUGCUAGAGGCUGCAGCCACAGUGUCGUCAGAAGGCUGUGCUCCUCCUCCACAGGCAAAGUUCCCAUCAGGGCUUCCAGCACAGCAACUCCGCCCCAGCCUGAACUCUUCAGACAGGCACAGCUCUGCCCUUCUCUUGGAACUACUCAGUUUGUAAACCAUGUGACUCACCCCACCCACCCUCACUGCUCUAAGCCAGGCAAGCCUCAGCUUGGGCUUCCAGUGCAGGGACCUUGUCCCCACCUGAACACCGUGGUGGAUCGUGGCUCUGCUUUCAUCAGGGGAAAACUCCUAGUGGUAACAGAAUAUGCUUGGCAUCUUUGCAUGCCUGCAGCUGUGAAGUUCAGCAUUAUUUGGGUGGGAGGGAAGUGCAAGUGUGCCGUGUGCCCAACAGCUGCCAGUCUCCGUUGCCCCAGCUGAGGGGUCCUGCCCUCUCCAGUGAAAGGCUCACAGCACAGCUCUCUUGUCCCCAUUGAACAGUUCACCUAUGGCCCAGAGCCCUUAUGAAAACCCAACUCUGACACGCCUGUAAUGUUCCCUCAGGCUCUCGCCACUGAAGCAUUCUACCUACCCUGCCUAAGAGUUUGCCUGGUGACCUAGGGACCAGCCCACUCCAUCACAGCCAGCACCUGAAUUCUGGGCUACCCUGACUCCGGUCCUGCCCCUUAGGAGUCACACAUGCUGUCCAGUAGGCCAUCUAGGGGCUUGGGAGCUGGGGAACUACCUACCCUGUUCCAACUUUUCCGGCACCUGACCACUUCCCCCAGGGCCUAAGCUCAGGCCGAUCCAACCAGCUGACAACACCAUGACCAACACCCACUGACAUGGGCCCCAAAGUGGCACCACCACAACAAAUACGUACAUGCACAAGCCCACAGGUGGUGUCUCCUGUUUACAGGAAGCAGCAGUACUGCCACAUCAGAGAACAGGGACUCUUGGCAGAAGAGAAUGGUGUGAUAUCAUUGUUUUCCUAAGUC
rnacentral:lncRNA from 1 species